rnacentral:rRNA from 1 species
UGGGGGAUAUUGCACAAUGGGCGAAAGCCUGAUGCAGCGACGCCGCGUGGGGGAUGAAGGCUUUCGGGUUUUAAACCUCUUUCGCUAUCGAACAAGGCCCGCUUAGGGUGGGUUGAGGGUAGGUGGAGAAGAAGCGCCGGCUAACUACGUGCCAGCAGCCGCGGUAAUACGUAGGGCGCGAGCGUUGUCCGGAAUUAUUGGGCGUAAAGGGCUUGUAGGCGGCUUGUUGCGCCUGCUGUGAAAACGCGGGGCUUAACUUCGCGCGUGCAGUGGGUACGGGCAGGCUUGAGUGUGGUAGGGGGGACUGGAAUUCCAGGUGUAGCGGUGGAAUGCGCAGAUAUCUGGAGGAACACCGAUGGCGAAGGCAGGUCACUGGGCCAUUACUGACGCUGAGGAGCGAAAGCAUGGGUAGCGAACAGG